rnacentral:SRP_RNA from 1 species
GCUAGGUAUGGUGGCUCACACCUGUAAUCCCAGCACUUUGGGAGGCUGAGGUGGGCAGAUCACCUGAGGUCAGGAGAUCGAGAGCAGCCUGGCUAACACGGUGAAACCCCGUCUCUACUAAAAAUACAAAAAAUAGCCAGGUGUGGUAGUGCGCGCCUAUAGUCUCAGCUAUNNNNNNNNNNAUAGCUGAGACUAUAGGCGCGCACUACCACACCUGGCUAUUUUUUGUAUUUUUAGUAGAGACGGGGUUUCACCGUGUUAGCCAGGCUGCUCUCGAUCUCCUGACCUCAGGUGAUCUGCCCACCUCAG